rnacentral:piRNA from 1 species
UCCAGUCGCAGCAGAAUUAUAGGAGAAUUU